rfam:Fusarium poae strain 2516 mitochondrion mitochondrial, whole genome shotgun sequence.
UAAAAGUUGAGUUUGGUGAUGGCUCUGAUUGAAUGCUGUCCAAGUGCUUGACACAUGCUAAUCGUACGUUUUAAUUGAUAAAUUAAAAAGUGGUGUACAGGUGAGUAUAAUGAUAUUCUUCGCCGGCCUUAAAGUGGAGGUAAAUCCUUCAUAAUAAAUAAAGGAAACAAGAUUCAAGGUGUAGCAAUAACCACUAAUAAAGGGGAUAUAGUAGAUAAAUGUAUUAGUGGACCUACUCCUUAUUGUUUCUGCUUUAAGAGGAUAAUAAAUAUCUUCGAGAUAGGUAGUAGUUAAGGUGAUGACUUAACUAGCCUUAAACUCUCGUAGUCGAAUCUGAAAGGUUGAUCGACCACAUUGGGUCUGAAAAAACCCCAAUGCAAGUUAGUACAGCAGUGAGGAAUCUUGGUCAAUGGCCUAACGGCUGAACUGGCAACUUGGAGAAGUGGCAAGUCUUCCAGUAUGGGGAGCAAACAGCUAUGGGUCAAGCCCGAUACCUUUAAGAGAAGUCUUAUUGUGAGGGCGAGUUGUAUAACACCAUAGGGCUGGCCGUCCCAUAUGAAAAGAUUUUAUUAGAAUUGAAUGAAACUUUGUUUAUAUAUUGAUAAUGACAGUAUAUAUAUCGUGUCUUGACUAAUUGCGUGCCAGCAGUCGCGGUAAUACGUAAGAGACUAGUGUUAUUCAUCUUAAUUAGGUUUAAAGGGUACCCAGACGGUCUAUAUAGCUUAUAAAAUGUUAGUAUAAGACUAGAGUUUUAUGUAAGAGGGCAGUACUUGAGGAGGAGAGAUGAAAUUUCGUGAUACCAAAGGGACUCUGUAAAGGCGAAGGCAGCCCUCUAUGUAAAAACUGACGUUGAAGGACGAAGGCACAGAGAACAAACAGGAUUAGAUACCCAAGUAGUCUUUGCAGUAAAUGAUGAAUGCCAUAGGUUAGAUAUAUAGUCUCCCUGAACAGUAUAUCUGGUCUAUAAAUGAAAGUGUAAGCAUUUCACCUCAAGAGUAAUGUGGCAACGCAGGAACUGAAAUCACUAGACCGUUUCUGACACCAGUAGUGAAGUAUGUUGUUUAAUUCGAUGAUCCACGAAAAACCUUACCACAAUUUGAAUAAUUUUAUUACAGGAGUUGCACGGCUGUUUCCAGUUAAUGUUGUGAAACUGUGGUUUCCAUGAAAUUAACGUAAUCCCUGGCUUUAUUUUUUUUAUUUACGAUAAAGCAUUCUUUCCUGGAAAUUUGGAAAGAAAAAGGGGACAAAGACAAGUCAUCAUGGCCUUGAUAUUGUGGGCUAUAGACGUGCCACAUAUACCUAGACAAAGAGAUGCGAAAAUGUGAAUUUAAGCUAAUCUCAAAAAAUAGGAUAUAAAUUUUAAGGAUUGUAGUCUGAAAUUCGACUAUAUGAAUAAGUAAUUACUAGUAAUCGUGAAUCACCAUGUCACGGUGAAUAGACCUUGGAUUGGUACUAACCACUCGUCACAUGCUGAAAGGGGCAUGCGCAAUAAGUUUGCUUUCUUAGUAACAAGUAAAAAAAACAAAUAGGUUUUAUAUAUUCUUUUAUUGGGAAUCUUCGUAUGCGUGGCUCUAAUUAGUGUUAAGUCGAAAUACGGUUCGGGUAGUGGAAGUUGCCCGGGAUUAAUUAAUCUU